rnacentral:miRNA from 1 species
GGGCGCUUCUCCAUUGGCACGG